ensembl:snoRNA SNORA30B small nucleolar RNA, H/ACA box 30B
CCAGCACAUUCACAGGUCCUCCCCCAGGCGGUGGGGGUAGGAUUUGGUAGCUGGUGCUGAGAGAAAACCUUUGGUGGCACCUUUGCCCUGGGACUGUGCCAGUGGCAGCUGUCACUCAAUGGGACAGAG